GAUGAACGCUCGCGGCAGGCCUAACACAUGCAAGUCGAGGGAUAAGCCUUCGGGCUAAGACCGGCGCACGGGUGCGUAACGCGUAUACAAUCUGCCUUUUAUCCGGGGGAUAGCCCGAAGAAAUUUGGAUUAAUACCCUAUGGUAUAAGAGCACGGCAUCGUGCACUUAUUAAAGCUACGGCGGUAAAAGAUGAGUAUGCGUUCUAUUAGCUAGUUGGAGAGGUAACGGCUCCCCAAGGCGACGAUAGAUAGGGGUUCUGAGAGGGAUGUCCCCCACACUGGUACUGAGAUACGGACCAGACGCCUACGGGAGGCAGCAGUGAGGAAUAUUGGACAAUGGUCGGAAGACUGAUCCAGCCAUGCCGCGUGCAGGAUGACGGCCUUAUGGGUGGUAAACUGCUUUUGUAAGGGAAGAAUAAGGAGUACGUGUACUUUGAUGACGGUACCUUACGAAUAAGCAGCGGCUAACUCCGUG
rnacentral:rRNA from 1 species